rnacentral:rRNA from 1 species
GACGGAGGGUGCUAGCGUUGUUCGGAAUUACUGGGCGUAAAGGGCGCGUAGGCGGCCUGGUCAGUCGGAUGUGAAAGCCCGGGGCUCAACCCCGGAACGGCAUCCGAGACGGCCAGGCUGGAGACCGGGAGAGGAGAGUGGAAUAGCCAGUGUAGAGGUGAAAUUCGUAGAUAUUGGCUGGAACACCAGUGGCGAAGGCGGCUUUCUGGUCUGCUCUUGACGCUGAGGCGCGAAAGCUAGGGUAGCAAACGGG